rnacentral:rRNA from 1 species
UACGUAGGAGGCGAGCGUUGUCCGGAGUUACUGGGCGUAAAGGGUGCGCAGGCGGCGUUCCGCGUGGCGAGAUGAAAUCUCCUGGCUUACCUGGGAGGGUGGUCGCCAGACGGGAGCGCUUGAGGGUCGGAGAGGGGCGUGGAAUUCCGGGUGGAGCGGUGAAAUGCGUAGAGAUCCGGAGGAACACCGACGGCGUAGGCAGCGCCCUGGACGACACCUGACGCUGAGGCGCGAAAGCUAGGGGAGCGAACGGG